UACGGAGGGUGCGAGCGUUGUCCGGAAUCACUGGGCGUAAAGGGCACGUAGGCGGCCUGAUAAGUAGGGGGUGAAAUCCUGCGGCUUAACCGCAGGGCUGCCUUCUAAACUGUCGGGCUAGAGCACGGUAGAGGCAGAUGGAAUUCCCGGUGUAGCGGUGGAAUGCGUAGAGAUCGGGAAGAACAUCAGUGGCGAAGGCGGUCUGCUGGGCCGUUGCUGACGCUGAGGCGCGACAGCGUGGGGAGCAAACAGG
rnacentral:rRNA from 1 species